UUUUUGUGGGGUGACGAAGACAAUCAGAAGAAAAUGCAUUGGAUGGCAUGGUGGAAGAUGUGUGUACCAAAAGACCAAGGAGGAAUGGGUUUUCGAGACAUACAUUGUUUCAAUUUGGCCUUGUUAGCCAAACAAGCGUGGCGCCUGCUUGAUCAUCCGGAUUUCCUAUGUGCCACCAUUUUGAGAGCUAAGUAUUUUCCGGAUGGAGAUUUAAUGGAUGCGAGUCGGAGAAAAGGAUCUUCUUUCACUUGGCAAAGCAUUAUGGCUGGAGUGGAUUCUCUCAAAAAUGGUUAUAUUUGGAGAGUUGGUAAUGAACAUGAUAUUGAUAUUUGGAGAGAUGCAUGGAUCCCGAAUGGGGGCAAUAGGAAAAUUAUCACUCCUAGAAGAGGGCAGCUUCUAACAAAAGUUGCUGAUCUUAUAGAUCCAAUCAACAAUUGUUGGGAUGAAAGAUUUGGUAGGACAAACGUUGUGGCCAAUUGA
rnacentral:rRNA from 1 species